UUGAAUCGUGAAUGCAAUUGGCUUAACUGUGCGAGUAAUAACUUAUUUGUGUUUGUUAAUUAGGGAUCGACACUUAAUUGGCUUGCAUGAAUAUGUUGCUAGAAUAUAAGGUUGUUUCACAUAAUCGUCACACACUUAUAUUCAUGUGUAGUGAAGGUCGCUAGUCACGAUCGCGUUAAGUCCAAUUCCUAGCAUGAGUGACAUGAUGUCAUAGUUGCAAGUGUUUUGUCAAUGCUUAUAGUUUUCAUUGAACGUAAUGAUCUUUGAUUGUAUCUUUAUUAUGAUCUCAUGUAGGGAACUUUUGAGGAAUGCUUUGGGUUGUCGAAUGAUGUCAUCCAAUCCAAUAACACAA
rnacentral:lncRNA from 1 species